rnacentral:rRNA from 1 species
CACGUAGGGUGCGAGCGUUGUCCGGAAUUACUGGGCGUAAAGGGCUCGUAGGUGGCCAACUAAGUCAGACGUGAAAUCCCUCGGCUUAACCGGGGAACUGCGUCUGAUACUGGAUGGCUUGAGGUUGGGAGAGGGAUGCGGAAUUCCAGGUGUAGCGGUGAAAUGCGUAGAUAUCUGGAGGAACACCGGUGGCGAAGGCGGCAUCCUGGACCAAUUCUGACGCUGAGGAGCGAAAGCCAGGGGAGCAAACGGG